rnacentral:misc_RNA from 1 species
CACUAUGCCCCACCGUAAAUAUACCCACACCACCAACGCCUGGGUAUUACGAGCUUUAGCUUAAAACCCAAAGGACUUGACGGUGUCCCACCCAACUAGAGGAGCCUGUUCUGUAAUCGAUAACCCACGAUACACCUAACCCUUUCUUGCCAACAGCCUGUAUACCUCCGUCGCAAGCUUACCAUAUGAAUGCCAAUAGUAAGUUUAAUGGUUCACCACCAACACGUCAGGUCAAGGUGCAGCUCAUGAUAGGGAAUGCAAUGGGCUACAAUCCCUAUAAUAGAGCACACGAAAUGCUGCAUGAAACACAGCCACGAAGGCGGAUUUAGUAGUAAAAAAGUAAAUAAAAUGUCUUUUUUAACAAGGCCCUGGGACGUGUACACACCGCCCGUCACCCUCUUCAACAGCACACAACGCAUUUCUUAGUCAUCUCGCACCCUAGAAGAGGUAAGUCGUAACAUGGUAAGUGUACCGGAAGGUGCGCUUGGAUUAACAAGGUAUAGCUUAAUUAAAGCUUCUCGCUUACACCAAGAGUAUGUUCGUGGAAACCGAAUUACCUUGUGCCUAAAAUUAAGCCUAAUCUCUUCAAAUGACCCAACAACCCAGCUAAACCCACAAUAAAACAUUUUAUUAGUUUAGUAAAGGCGAUUAAAAAACUUUCUAGCGCUUUACCACUAGUACCGCAAGGGAAAAAUGAAAUAGCUUUGAAAUAGCCUUAAAGCCAAAUAUAGCAGAGAUUACCCCUCGUACCUUUUGCAUCAUGGUUUAGCUAGUCUUUCUCAAGCAAAGCGAAGCAUCAGUUUGAUCCCCCGAAACCAAGCGAGCUACUUAAAAACAACUCAACGGAGCCAACCCGUCUCUGUCGCAAAAGAGUGGGACGAUUUUUUAGUAGAGGUGAAAAGCCUACCGAGCCUGGAGAUAGCUGGUUACUCAAGAAAAGAAUUUUAGUUCAACCUUAAGUUUCCUUCUAUUAAUUCUAUAAUUUACCUAAACUUAAGAGCUAUUCAAAUAAGGCACAGCUUAUUUGAAAAAGGAUACAACCUACAAAAAAGGGUAAAGCCUUUUUAUACAAACAAGUGGGCCUAAAAGCAGCCACCUUUAAGAAAGCGUUAAAGCUCUCUUUUUCGAUCACCCCAAUUCCUAAACCAACCUUCAACCCUUAUUCACAACUGAGUGACUCUAUAUUACUAUAGAGGCCCCAAUGCUAAAACUAGUAACAAGAAACUGCUUUUCUCCAAAAUAUAAGCAUCCGCCAAAAUGGACAAACCAUUGGCAAUUAACGCUAAUCAGACUAUUAUAGUAACUUCACUAGAAAACACUAUUAACCUCAACGUUAACCUUACACAAGAAUAUUUCUGGAAAGAUUAAAAGAAAAGGAAGGAACUCGGCAAAUCACAACCCCGCCUGUUUACCAAAAACAUCGCCUCUUGAAACAUUAUAAGAGGUCCAGCCUGCCCAGUGAUAAAAUUAAACGGCCGCGGUACCCUAACCGUGCGAAGGUAGCAUAAUCACUUGUUCCCUAAAUAGGGACUUGUAUCAACGGCAUCACGAGAGUUGUACUGUCUCCCCUUUCUAAUCAGUGAAACUGACCUCCCCGUGAAGAGGCGGGGAUGUCUAUACAAGACGAGAAGACCCCAUGGAGCUUUAAACCCAAUGGCAACCUCUAUUAAACCUAUCAACUAAACAAAGAGGGCCUGCCUUUUGGUUUUAGGUUGGGGUGACCGCGGAGUAAAACCAAACCUCCAUGACGAACGGAACCUAUCCUAAUCUACGAGCUACCACUCUAAGAAUCCAUAAUUUGACGUAAAGUGAUCCGGCAACCGAUCAACGAACCAAGUUACCCUGGGGAUAACAGCGCAAUCCACUUCAAGAGCCCCUAUCGACAAGUGGGUUUACGACCUCGAUGUUGGAUCAGGGUAUCCCAGUGGUGCAGCCGCUACUAACGGUUUGUUUGUUCAACAAUUAAAACCCUACGUG